rfam:Trichoderma atroviride IMI 206040 TRIATcontig_16, whole genome shotgun sequence.
GCUCGCGUAGCUCAGUUGGUUAGAGCUUCGUACUAAUACUUCAGCGUCAGUUGAAAUCUUGGUAAUGCGGAGGCCGCAGGUUCAAGCCCUGCCGUGAGCA